GAUGAACGCUAGCUACAGGCUUAACACAUGCAAGUCGAGGGGAAACGACAUCGAAAGCUUGCUUUUGAUGGGCGUCGACCGGCGCACGGGUGAGUAACGCGUAUCCAACCUGCCCACCACUUGGGGAUAACCUUGCGAAAGUAAGACUAAUACCCAAUGAUAUCCCACGAAGGCAUCCGAAUGGGAUUAAAGAUUUAUCGGUGAUGGAUGGGGAUGCGUCUGAUUAGCUUGUUGGCGGGGUAACGGCCCACCAAGGCGACGAUCAGUAGGGGUUCUGAGAGGAAGGUCCCCCCACAUUGGAACUGAGACACGGUCCAAACUCCUACGGGAGGCAGCAGUGAGGAAUAUUGGUCAAUGGGCGAGAGCCUGAACCAGCCAAGUAGCGUGCAGGACGACGGCCCUAUGGGUUGUAAACUGCUUUUAUAAGGGAAUAAAGUGAGUCUCGUGAGACUUUUUGCAUGUACCUUAUGAAUAAGGACCGGCUAAUUCCGUG
rnacentral:rRNA from 1 species